AUGCCAGGGAGUGUGAGAGCCCAGGCAUGCAUCCUUGGAGUGGGGAGGCCCUUUAAAAUAGAAAGAAGCCACUCAGCAGCACCAAUUGCUGCCUUGUUGAGAAUACGGGUUUAGUGUGACCAGAUCUGAUAGUUUUCUGAAAGAAACUGGAAGUAAAAAUUUUAAGUGAAAUUCCUCAGUAUUUAAAUGCUGGCUCAGGGACUUUCCCUGGUGGUCCAGUGGCUAAGAUUCUGUGCUCUCAUUGCUGGAUGCCCCGGUUCCAUCCCUGGUCAGGGAACUACUACAUGACGCAACUAAGACCCAGCUCAGCCAAAUCACACUUCUGCAGGUAUCUUGGGAAUACAAACAGAGACAAUGGUACAGCUGUAAUCAGAUGCCUGGUCUGAGGCCUGAUUCUGAGGAUGAACAAGAAUAGAUUCUUUACAACCAAGCCACCAGGGAAGCCCCCUCUGUAAGUUGCUGCUGCUGCUAAGUCGCUUCAGUCGUGUCUGACUCUGUGCAACCCCACAGACGGCAGCCUACCAGGCUCCCCCAUCCCUGGGAUUCUCCA
ensembl:lncRNA